GCUGGGGGCGAUUUGUCAAUUGCAGAGGUCAACAGGGCCAAGGGCCAGGACCACAGGAGGGUCUGGGUAGGCCCAGGGACAGGCUUGGAGCUGCCUUGGCAGGAUACUUGAGGUCCCUGUACCCCCAACACCACAGGCACAGCCCUGGGAGGCUGGAUCAAUUUUCAUUAAAUUGGUAAAUGUCUCUCUUCCCCUGCUCUCCUGGAAACCCUCCUUAAAAUCCAUGAUGUCCUGACAGUGGCAGCGGCCAGCAGCGGCUGGAGGUGCCCCCGCGCCCUUGGAGGGGUGCCUGGAUUCCUUGGAGGGUGGCAGGCGGCUCCGCUCUUGUCCCCUCUUGAGUACUCCUUGGGCAAGUCACGGGGAGGCAGCUCACCUCUCGGGGCAGCAUGGACAGGCAGCUCCUUUACCUGGCCCCUCCCCUCGGGCUCUUGCCUGACCCUGCUCUGGCCAGCGCCACAUGGCACCUCUGGUCCACUGUCCCUGCCCAGACCACAUUUUGCAAGUAGGUUCCCCUUGGAACUGAUGCUCCCCCGGGUGUCAGCCUCCUGAGUCUCUGGUUCCUCGUCUCACUCCAUUCACUCAACCAUCCAUCCAAAGGUCCUGAGGCCCGCUGGAGGCUCCCCAGCUGGGAGCUCACUGCCCAGAGGGGCUCAGACCUCAAAACUCCAGGGGUGGGCAGACUGGUGAGACCCCAUGGGUAAGAGGUGGGGACAGAAGAGCCCCGAACAGGAGCCCAGGCCACGGAGGAGAGGUCUGGGGGCUGGGGUGAGGCAGUGGAGGUGCAGCCACCAGUGGAUCUGGGGAAGGAGUGGAGCUGGCCGAGGGAGCUUGGGACCCCAGGUCCUGGGCAGAGCAGAACCGGGAGAGAGCUGGUGCUGGAGGACCCCACAGGCCCGGCCCCACCCCCACCCACGUGGCCCAGAGCCUGCAGCAAGAGGAAGGUUGCUGCGGUGGCCAGGCCAGGGGGGCACGAUGGUGGGCUAGGAAGAGGGACACACAGGGGUCCUCCCUCCUGUGCCAGAAAGGGGUGACUUUGCCCAGGGUCAUGAGCACAAGCAGUAGUGGGCAGCGUCAAAGCCCCGCGCUGCAGUCCCCAGUCAGCGGGGCUCUGGCUGCCCACCCACUCUCAGCACAACCUGCUGGAGCCAGAGGGGCACAGCCAAGGUCUCAGGGAUCAAAUCCCAAUUCAUUAGCGGGAUGGGAGGGGGUGUGGGCAGCUCUGCCCUGGCUGCGGUCUCGGGUGGACCAAGCAAAGCUGCUUCCCACGAUCGAUCUGUGGACAAUGAUGAGACCAACAGUCAACCACUUAGGCAGGCAGAGGGCAGGACAUAGCCACACAGUGACCUGAGCCUGGCUCCACCUCUGAGGGCUGCCCAGGGCCAAUGGGGGCCGAGUCACCACACCCCUCACUGCCCAGGAGCUUCCUGAAGAGGGCACCCCACCCCUCCUCUCUGUCCCCUGGUUCUCUCCUUUGUCCCUGCCUUGGUAUCUCUGUCUCUGGGUCUCACAGGGGGCAUCUUGGGGUCCCUGUCUCUUCUUCCUCCCUGGGCCUGGCCUGCCUGCCCCUGAUGUCUCUGGGGCUUCCCUCCCUCUCUGACUGGGUGCCCUCCCCUCAUGGUCUCCAAUAAGAUGACUGCCUCCUCCCUGUGUCCUCCCUUCUCAUGGCUGGGAAGGUCAGGAGUGCCCAGGGCUAGCCAGCUAGGAGCCGGGCAGGCGCUGCAGCCCCUCCCACCCACCACCUGGGGCCAGGAUGGAGUUCACCCACUGGGGAUGGCACCCCUGUCC
rnacentral:lncRNA from 1 species